rnacentral:rRNA from 1 species
GCUGGUGACAAUAGAGAGAAGGAACCACCUGUUCCCAUCCCGAACACAGAAGUUAAGCUUCUCAUCGUCGAAAAUACUUGACUGGAGACGGUCCGGAAAGAUAGAACAUUGCCAGUG